GACCUAACGUUAGUUUUCUUCCCAUCAGAGAACAUAAAUGUCACUAUUCUCAUUCACUGCGCUGCAUAAUUGUAAUGUUAUUUCAGCAGAGUCCAUCGAUUGUUAUAUGCCUUGCGGUUUCAACUGAUUGCAAAGUGAUUGAUAAAUGUUGAUUAAUAUCAGAUUAAGGCCUGAUGAAGCAAGGUUAGGAUCUGGUUACGAGGCCUGAUUAUGUGAUUUCCUGGAGAUCGGUUGAGCGGAAGGGCUCAAUUGAAGGAUAAAAGUACAUUUAUAUGAAGCACACCCUCAGUCUAUACUACAAUCCAAUUAUCAAUCUAUCCUUAUUCCUCAUUCACGCCACUGUACAUUCGCCUCACUUGUGUAUUCUUAUCGACUCACUACUCCAGCACUUCUAUGCUGCAUUGGUAUAAAGACGCAGGAAACCUCACACAUAUGUAUGUAGCCGAAGAAAUAGACGGUUUUAGCGAUAAAAUUUAUAUCGCUCAUCCAGAUGGCUGAUAAUACACGUUAUCGCGAAUUUAAUGGCUCAGGCCAGUUCGUAGGAAGUGUGCAUAAACACGCAUCAUAGCCAUGAUUGUCCGCCUGUCACUUUUAAUGUUUGGAGGUUAACUUUAGGCAAAAGGAAACUCUAAUUCUAAAAAAUGCACCAAAACAUACCUCCUUGGCGAUUUGGUCGAGAGCCUGGUCCUCAGCGGAAUGUCUGGUUGCAGCUCGCCUUCGUCCUGCUAUCGAAGAUUCCAUCGUAAGGCAGACACACCACUGCCCUACGGACAGACACAAACAUAUUCUAAAGCCACCGACCCUUUACAAUUUUUGGUUACAUCUCUAUUGGAGAUGAUUAACAAAUACUUGCCAAGCAUACAGGG